GGGUGUGCAGCCACCAUGGGAAUCCGUUACACUCGGCUCCCCAAUGGGUGGCCCAGACGUUUAACACAGGACACUUACUUUUAUGUGUAAACAGGUCUCAAACAAAGCUCGGACUAAUGCUUCAUAUUCUUCUUGGACUUCUUUUCUAAUCUGCUUCUUGAGAUUCAGAUUCACCUCUUCCAAGUCUGCCGGUUCCCGCUCCCUGGCCAUCUGCCAUUGAAUCCAGCCUGUCCUUUCAGCCUGGGGGAUCCUCCUGGCUCUGAUUUGCUUGUCCUGGAAGGCCUAGGGCACUGUCCUAUCAUUGUAACCCCAGUGCUCCACUGACCUCCAGGGAACGCCUACCAUGGACUUGGCCAAGAGAAGAAAAAUGGAAACGACCUAAAAUGCCUAACAAUGGAAACAAGUUGAAUCCAUCUGACUCAUAGACAUGACGAAAUACUGAAUGGCCACCAUAAAUGGACAUAUGUUUAUUGAUGAGGAAAGAUCUUUAUAACAUAUUGUCAAGUGAACAAAAAAGCAUGCUAUAAAAAAAGGUCAUGCAGAAUAAUCUUAUUUUGUUAAAAAAAAAAAAGUGUGUAUCAGUCCAUUUUCACACUGCUGAUAAAGACAUACCUGAGAAUGGGCAAUUUACAAAGAAAGAAGUUUAAUGGACUUACAGUUCAACAUGGCUGGGGAGGCCUCACAAUCAUGGUGGAAGGCAAGGAGGAGCAAGUCACGUCUUACAUGGAUGGCAGCAAAGAAAGAGAGCUUGUGCAGGGAAACUCCUGUUUUUAAAACCAUCAGAUCUUGUGAGACUCAUUCACUAUGGUAAGAACAGGGCAGUAAAGACCCACCCCCAUGAUUCAAUCACCUCCCACUGGGUUCCUCCCACAACAUGUGGCAAUUGUGGGAGUUACAAUUCAAGGUGAGAUUUGGGUGGGGACACAGCCAAACUAUAUCAAAGUGCAUGAGUAGAAAAAUGUUAUAAAGUUUGGAAGAAACUAUGUCAAAAUAAUAAUAGUGGAGGCUAGGUGCUGUGGCUCACAUCUGUAAUCCCAGCACUUUGGGAGGCCAAGGAGGGAUUGCUUGAGGCCAGGAGUUUGAGAUCAGCCUGGCCAACAAAGUGAGACCCCAUCUUUACAAAAAAAAAAUACAAAAACUAGCUGGGCAUGGUGGUGUGUGUCUGUAGUCCUAGCUUCAGGAGGCUGAGGUGGGAGGAGCACUUGAGCCCAGGAAUUUGAAGCUGCAGUGAGCUAUGAUCAGGCCACU